rnacentral:rRNA from 1 species
AGAUUGAACGCUGGCGGCAUGCCUAACACAUGCAAGUCGAGCGGCAGCGCGGGGGCGACCCUGGCGGCGAGCGGCGGACGGGUGAGUAAGGCAUCGGAAUCUGCCCUGAUGUGGGGGAUAACGUAGGGAAACUUACGCUAAUACCGCAUACGACCGAGAGGUGAAAGCGGGGGACCGAAAGGCCUCGCGCAGCAGGAUGAGCCGAUGUCCGAUUAGCUGGUUGGUGGGGUAACGGCCCACCAAGGCGACGAUCGGUAGCUGGUCUGAGAGGAUGAUCAGCCACACUGGGACUGAGACACGGCCCAGACUCCUACGGGAGGCAGC